GGACUACCCGGGUAUCUAAUCCUGUUUGCUACCCACGCUUUCGCGCAUCAGCGUCAGAACCGGUCCAGGUAGCCGCCUUCGCCACUGGUGUUCCUCCCAAUAUCUACGCAUUUCACCGCUACACUGGGAAUUCCGCUACCCCCUCCCGGCCUCAAGCCAUCCAGUUUCAAAGGCAGUUCCUCAGUUGAGCCGAGGGAUUUCACCUUUGACUUCGAUAGCCGCCUACGCGCCCUUUACGCCCAAUAAUUCCGAAUAACGCUCGCCCCCUCCGUAUUACCGCGGCGGCUGGCAC
rnacentral:rRNA from 1 species